rnacentral:tRNA from 1 species
GUCGGGAUAGCUCAGUUGGUAGAGCAGAGGACUGAAAAUUCUCGUGUUACCAGUAAAAAAAAA